GAUGAACGCUGGCGGCGUGCCUAAUACAUGCAAGUCGAGCGAACGGACGAGAAGCUUGCUUCUCUGAUGUUAGCGGCGGACGGGUGAGUAACACGUGGAUAACCUACCUAUAAGACUGGGAUAACUUCGGGAAAACGGAGAUAAUACUGGAUGAUAUUUUGUACCGCAUGGUUCAAAAGUGAAAGACGGUCUUGCUGUCACUUAUAGAUGGAUCCGCGCUGCAUUAGCUAGUUGGUAAGGUAACGGCUUACCAAGGCAACGAUGCAUAGCCGACCUGAGAGGGUGAUCGGCCACACUGGAACUGAGACACGGUCCAGACUCCUACGGGAGGCAGCAGUAGGGAAUCUUCCGCAAUGGGCGAAAGCCUGACGGAGCAACGCCGCGUGAGUGAUGAAGGUCUUCGGAUCGUAAAGCUCUGUUAUUAGGGAAGAACAUAUGUGUAAGUAACUGUGCACAUCUUGACGGUACCUAAUCAGAAAGCCACGGCUAACUACGUG
rnacentral:rRNA from 1 species